rnacentral:tRNA from 1 species
GCUGGCGUAGCUCAAUGGUAGAGCACCCGAUUUGUAAUCGGACGGCUGCGGGUUCAAGUCCCAUCGCCAGCU